rnacentral:rRNA from 1 species
AUACGUAGGGGGCGAGCGUUAUCCGGAUUCAUUGGGCGUAAAGCGCGCGUAGGCGGCCAGCUAGGUCGGGAGUCAAAUCCGGGGGCUCAACCCCCGCCCGCUCCCGAUACCGGCCGGCUUGAGUCUGGCAGGGGAAGGCGGAAUUCCCGGUGUAGCGGUGGAAUGCGCAGAUAUCGGGAAGAACACCGGUGGCGAAGGCGGCCUUCUGGGCCACGACUGACGCUGAGGCGCGAAAGCUGGGGGAGCGAACAGGAUUAGAUACCCUGGUAGUCCCAGCCGUAAACGAUGGACACUAGGUGGGGGGGGACGAUCCCCCCGUGCCGCAGCCAACGCAUUAAGUGUCCCGCCUGGGGAGUACGGCCGCAAGGCUAAA